rnacentral:rRNA from 1 species
UUAGUGGCGGACGGGUGAGUAACGCGUGGAAAACCUGCCGUAUACUGGGGGAUAACACUUAGAAAUAGGUGCUAAUACCGCAUAAGCGCACAGCUUCGCAUAAAGCGGUGUGAAAAACUCUGGUGGUAUACGAUGGUUCCGCGUCUGAUUAGCUAGUUGGUGGGGUAAUGGCCUACCAAGGCAACGAUCAGUAGCCGGCCUGAGAGGGUGAACGGCCACAUUGGGACUGAGACACGGCCCAGACUCCUACGGGAGGCAGCAG